rnacentral:lncRNA from 1 species
GGAAUUUUGAUCUCCAUUUUCUUGAAGAUCUCUAUACAGUGCUUGAACUUCUUUUCCUUCCUAUGAUUUUUCUUUUUAUGAGGAAGGGGCUUUUCAUAUGAUCUUUUCUUCUUUCAUCUCUUCCUCUUUUUCUCAACCUUCUCCUUUUUCCACUUUCUUUUUUUCUUUUUUCUUAUUUUCUUAUUUUUUCUUUUUUUCUCAACCACUACUUUUUGUUUCUCCUCAUCUUUCUCUCCCUCACUCAACCUUUCUGCUUCAUCUUCCUCUAUUUUCUCCUCUUCUAUCUUUUCCACUUCUCUCUCCACCUUCUCCUCAUUAACAACCUCAUCAAUUUGUGUCUCCAAAUUCCUAAAGGUAACUUCAUAUCUCUUGGAAUCACACCUCUCUAGAAAUUUGUUUAACUUUUCAUUCAAGCUUUUGACUUGUUCCGUCACAUUAGUUGUUUGUUGACAAAGUUGUCGAUCAUACUCCCACGCUUCUAUUGGUGAAGAGCAUUGUUGUUGCCACU